UUCUCAAGACCUGGGGACUUCAACGUCUUUUAGGCCAGGGACCCCUAAGCUGAAAGACAGACAGAUUAGGGACCGCAUAGAUUGUAUACAUUUGAGUUG